GGUUGGGUGGUGCAGUGGUCAGCAUUGCUGCCUCACAGCAGGAAGAGCGUGGGUUUGAAUCCAGCCUUUGGUCG